rnacentral:lncRNA from 1 species
GCUCGGGACAGUAUUGACUCUUUUGGAUGCAGCAUCACGCUGGCACUCAUAUACUGGAUGCAGUGAUGGCCUGAGGAUUCACGUGCUUCAUGAUAAAAGAUGAUGAUGAUGAUGAUGAUGACCACUAUCAUCCCCUUUCUGGGGAUCCUGAAGUAAAUUCCUGCUAUCCUGUUCUGGCCUCUGAGGAAGGAAUCAUCUGCUGAGUGCCUCGACUUCCUGAAGAAGAUGUGGGAAGGGCAGGGCAACUUAGAAACUUAGAGUUGAAUCAAAAGCAGCUGAAUUGCCAACAGGGAGAUCUGCCAUGGAGGGGAUGAGAGAAGACCUCAUCAGUGAUGGGUAAGUACUCUGUUGGUUUGGAGCUUCACCCAGGGUUGUAAAAAGGCUUUUUUGUCCAGCAUGGGUCCAGAGCCUGAAAGAUAUCACCAAAACAUUUUUUUUUCUCCAUGCUGUGUUAAUGAAGGACUGAGCAGGGUUCACUGCUGUGUUUGAGGACACCAGCAGCAGCAGAUGAACCUGUGUGAGCCUCAGUGCUUAAGGGAUUCUCAGUUAAGGGGAGAACAGGUCCCUCCAGGCUGAAGUGGUAGCUGGUGUCUGCUUUUG